GCCGCCGGCCGCGGGGGGAUCGCCUCAUCGCCGCUCUCCAGCGACGGCGCUUUCGCACGCCCUGCGCGCGAUGCUCUCACUUUGACGGCCUCUCGCGCGCCGCUUCGCCCCUCGCUCCUGCGACGACUGUCUGCGGUCGCUCGCCGUCCGCUUCUUCACUUCUCACCGCCGGUCGCACUGUGCCGUGGUGCGCGUUGGCCCGGACCUGCUCUCUCUCUCUCUCUCUCUCCUUCUCUCGUUCACUCCCGAGUCGCGUCUCCCCUUGUGCUUCUGUGCAUGCUUCUGCUCUUUUCGGCACUCGGGUUGUGAUCGAAACACUGACUGACUCGGGAGCUUCGGUCAUCUAGAGUAUCGGGCAGCGAGCCAAGUUGCUGGUGGCCACCACAGUGGAGGAAUGAGGAGGACACUGGCCACCACCGGUUCGGUGCCGGUGAUCGGCCGGACGCUGCGGAGGAUGCUCGUCUUCUGUGCGGUGUGCAUCUGGAUAUGUUCGGUUGUGGUGCACUGUAGGAUACAGCAGCGGCCGGCCAACAAGGAGCAGCCGUACGCUUCUAUAGUGUACACGGCCGUGGCUGGUGGAAAGGUCGCGCUGCCGUGUGACAUCAGCCCGCCGUCGCCAGACGACUCGGUGACGCUCGUGCUAUGGUACAAGGACGAAAGCCUGGCGCCCAUCUUCACGCUUGACUCACGGAGAGAUCACGUAGACCAGGCGCGACAGUCUCCAGCUCCAGGACUCGAACGGCGACUCUUCUUCGACAUGGGCCACUCACCGGCCCACUUGCGGAUAGACCCCGUGCGUGAAGGAGACGCUGGCGAGUAUCGUUGCCGAGUGGACUUCCGGAGAGCCCGCUCGGUGAACACCGUGAUCAACCUCAAGGUGAUCGUGCCCCCGGGUGAUCCGGUUGUAAUGGACGAAGACGGACGCAAGCUGGAAGGUCUCGUGGGGCGCUUCAGUGAAGGACAGAACCUCAGGCUCCUGUGUGAAGUGGAGGGAGGUAAGCCUCGUCCCGUUGUCACCUGGUGGCGCGAUAAGCGGCUGGUCGACUCGAACUUCAGCUUCGUGGGGGACGGCAGCGUGGCUCGCAACUGGCUGGAGGUCGGCGAGCUGAAGCGCUCGGACUUCCUCAGCGUGCUUACCUGCCAGGCAGCCAACAACAACGUCACGGUGGCCGUGUCACGGUCCAUAACCUUGGACAUGAACUUGAUCCCGCUCGACGUGGCCAUCCAGCCCCCGCGCCAUCCGUUGUCGGCGGGCCACCCGGUGGAGCUGGUGUGCUCGUCAAGCGGCUCGCGUCCUCCCGCGUUGCUUACCUGGUGGAAGGGGGACGAGCAGUUGCUGUCGGCUAAGGAACACCAGGGCGACAACAACCACGAGGGCACCAGCUCGAGCGUGCUCCUCUUCACGCCACGAAAAGCAGACAACGGAGCGGUGCUGUCGUGCAGGGCCGAGAACCAGUUCAUACAAGGCAGCGCCAUUGAGGAAGGAUGGAAGCUGGAUGUCUUCUACAAACCUUUGGUAUCAUUGCGGUUAGGCCAAAACCUUAGGGAAGACGACAUCCGCGAAGGCCGUGACGUGUACCUCGACUGUGACGUGGAUGCCAACCCGCCGGCCAACGAAGUCACGUGGCUCUUCGAGGGGCAGGAAGUCACUACAAACACCAGCGCGGGCGUCAUCGUGAGCAGCCAGUCGUUGGUGUUGCAGAAGGUGCACCGGUCGCGCCGCGGUCGGUACAAGUGCAUCGCCAUGAACCGUGAAGGCCACGGCACCAGCAACGUCUUCAUGUUACGCAUAAAAUACGCGCCGGUGUGCAAGCCAGACCAAAGGCACAUCUACGGAGUGUCACGUCAUGAGUCGGUUUCCGUGCGCUGCGAGUUGGAGGCAGAUCCGGCGGACGUGACAUUCCACUGGCGCUUCAACAGCUCCUCCAGUGGCAAGCGCCUGGAGCUAGCCAGCUACAGCCACGCGUUGACGCGCAGCACGGCCCUCUACUCCCCUCUAAAUGAGGAUGACUUCGGCUUGCUGCUUUGCUGGGGCGCUAACGAGAUCGGCAAGCAACAGACGCCCUGCAAUUUCACCAUCGUCCCCGCCGGCCCUCCAGAGCCGGUGAACAACUGCAGCCAGGUCAACGGCACCGAGGACUCGGUGUCGUUCGAGUGCUCCGAGGGUUUCUGGGAUGGUGGCGUGGCACCCGUCACGUUCGUGGCUGAACUGCGUGAGGCCGACACUGAUCGGCUGGUGGCCAACGCCUCGUCCAUGUCUGGACCGGCGUUCAGCUUCAGCGGCCUCGAAGGAGGCUCCACUUUCCGAGUGUUCCUCUUCUCAGCCAACCCUAAGGGACACCGGUCGCCCGUGCACUUCGUCGUCAGCACAUUGCGGCCCGCCGAGAAGCUUACCGCUGGAAGCCGUGGUAUGAUCACCGCCUGGCCCAUUAUCGGCGCGCUACUUGGCCUCAUUGUGACAUUGCUGAUCGCGGCACUAGUGAUCGUCGUCUAUGUCAAACACAAAUACCUGAAGAGGAAGCGAGACACGUACAGUGAACCUGGCGAUGAAAAAUCCAACACGCUUCUAAAGAAAGAUGCUGACGAGUUUGCGGAUGUUGAAGAGAAGGGACCCGACAUUAUACCAGACACGCCGCUCUGCCAAGUUACUUACAAAUCGUAUGGUUGCGAUCAAGACGAAAAAGUAGAGUACGCAAAGGAGCCUCUAACAAGCUACUACACUCUUCCUGCUUCGACAAGGAAGGCUGGCGCAACCGAGUUUUCAUGGAGAAACCACUGUACAAAUAACGAGGACCAGCCGUUGGAAGCAGUGGGUGCGGAACUGCCAUUUCCAGCCGCUGCACGCCGACUGGGUCACGUGGGUUCCACUUCGAGCUUGCCUCGGCCGCAGCGAUUCUACCUGGACCAGCUUUCCCCGGACGGCAGCGGCGCAACCCACGUUGAUUUUGUGCGCAGCGGCGUGCUGAGACCACUGGCAUCGGCGCACAGACUGCCGCGUCGCUCCCGCAGCAACUUGGAGGAGUUCGGGCCUGUGCUCUCCAACGACUCGCUCGAGAGCACAGUCUGAAAGGGAGGGCGGAGUGUCCGCAGUGUCUUCAGCCCCGGCUCCCCGAGGGUGCCGAAAGAGUCGAGAAACCAAGAUUCUCCGAAGAAUGUGCCUGUGCCAAGUGUACUCAUACCAGGACGAAACAAUGUGACGUCCCACACCACUGCUGUAGAAAUGAGCAUGAACAAAUGUGGCUGGUUUUUCGCUUAGCGAAAACAUCAGGCAGUGUCGUGAAAUGUGAUUGUUUAGCGCUCUCAGGCACCGUGUGGAUUAGACUGCGCCAUCCCAACGUGCUUCCCUACGAUUCCUUCUUCAAUGAGUGACGAGUACAGACGAAGUUCAAGCAGCGCCCACUUUCUCCAUCAAGUUUGUGUCUCCUGUAAGAAAACAUCGUAUGUGCUCAGAUCGUCGUGAUCGCUGUUCUUAUUUUUGUUUCCCUGAAAAGAACAAGGUGGACUUGAAUCCCUUGGAACUUUCCGCACAAGCAGAAGCCUACAACGGGAUUGUUCAGCAUGGGACUGAAGGCAGCGCGUAAGUGUGUCACUACUCCCCCAAUUUAAGCCUCCGAGUAAAAGCUGUUAACCAUGGUUACCUGACCAUGUGGAAGAGUCGCCGAGACGUAAUCAACCUGUCGUUGCCACGUGAACUGCAGCGCUCACCUGUUCGAGUGCAACCCAGAUCUUCGGUGUUAUUCGAGUACUCCCAGCAAGUGCCGCAUCGUGACACACCUAACACGAUGUCUCUCGAGUGCUUUACCUCGUGCGGAAA